UUAUGCGCGUGUGUAAGAAGGCCUUCGGGUUGUAAAGCACUUUUGUCAGGAACGAAACGGUGGGGGCUAAUAUCCUCUGCUAAUGACGGUACCUGAAGAAUAAGCACCGGCUAACUACGUGCCAGCAGCCGCGGUAAUACGUAGGGUGCGAGCGUUAAUCGGAAUUACUGGGCGUAAAGCGUGCGCAGGCGGUUGUGCAAGACAGAUGUGAAAUCCCCGGGCUUAACCUGGGAAUUGCAUUUGUGACUGCACGGCUAGAGUGUGUCAGAGGGGGGUAGAAUUCCACGUAUAGCAGUGAAAUGCGUAGAUAUGUGGAGGAAUACCGAUGGCAAAGGCAGCCCCCUGGGAUAACACUGACGCUCAUGCACGAAAGCGUGGGGAGCAAACAGGAUUAGAUACCCUGGUAGUCCACGCCCUAAACGAUGUCAACUAGUUGUCGGGUCUUAAUUGACUUGGUAACGCAGCUAACGCGUGAAGUUGACCGCCUGGGGAGUACGGUCGCAAGAUUAAACUCAAAGGAAUUGACGGGGACCCNACAAGCGGUGGAUGAUGUGGAUUAAUUCGAUGCAAGCGAAAAACUUACUACCCUUGA
rnacentral:rRNA from 1 species